GCGAAGGUUUGCUGGCUCAGGUAGGAGGAUUAAUUGGAACGAUUAAGCUGGAAGCUCUGUAAGACGGAUUAGAGGGGCAAACUUGGAGGCAGGAAGGCUGGGAGGAGACCACUGCUGAGUGAUUUUUCUUCCCCCACAGGUUCCCAGUCCCUGAUUUCUGGCCACUCCGCCUUUCUGUGAGUCAUUUUGUUUUUGUUUUUCAGAAGCAAGGUCUCGCUGUGUUACCCUGGCUGGAGUGCAGUGGCUACUUACAGGCAUGAUCAUAGCAUACUGCAGCCUCGAACUCCUGGACUAGAGCAGUUCUCCUGCCUCAGCCUCCAGAGCAGCUGGGACUGCAGACACGCACCACAGAGCCCAGCCUGAGUCAUUUUGAUUCUGUAACUGGCUUCCUCUCGGCGGGCAGGCUCACACCCUCCACCCCCAGCUGGAGAUGGAAGGAGGAUGCUCACCGCCCAUUCCUCAUGCAGGCCAUCGAUGGAAAUGUCAGACAGUGCGAGUCCACGCCUGAACACUUCUGGGGUCCGCUCUGGGACUGACACUGGCAGAUCCAUCGGUGAGCUCCCGCCUGCCACCUCUGGGCCUGCAUUGCGGUGAUAGGGCCAAGGGCCUGGGCCUUCAAUUCUCCAGACUUGCCAAAAUGCUCAGCGCAGGCCUCGUCGGCAACUGCAGACAAGCAGAGGCAGCACCUGGGCUCUGCCUGUGCCUGGCACAGUGAAGCGAGGGUGGGGGCAGGAAUGAGGGUCCUCUCCAUGCAAGGGGGGAAGAUAGAAGAACAAAAUUUCACCCUAAUGUAGUGUCUUUAGACCGUGCAAUGUUGUGCUCCUGUUAGUCUGAUAUCAGGGGCUUGCAGCCUGGCAAAGGAAAAAAAACAGGCUGAGGCACAUGAUAGAAGACAGGCAGGGAUGCCACAAUCAUAACCAUGGCAAAGACCAGGAUCAGAAAGGCCCACCAUCUCUGACCCCAAAUCCCUGGGCAGAUGGUUCCAGAACUCAGAAUUUUCCCAGUUGUAGAAAGAUGGGGCCAGGUGCAGUGGCUCACGCCUGUAAUCCCAGCAUUUUGGGAGUACAAGGUGGGCGGAUCACCUGAGGUCAGGAGUUCGAGACCAGCCUGGCCAACAUGGUGAAACCCUGUCUCUACUAAAAAAAAAAAAAAAAAUUAGCCGGGCGUGGCGAUGCAUGCCUGUAAUCCCAGCUACUCGGGAGGCUGAGCCAGGAGAAUUGCUUGAACCCGGGAGGCGGAGGUUGCAGUGAGCCAAGAUCGCGCCACUACACUCCAGUCCGGGCGACAGAGCAAGAGUCCAUUCCCCCACCACCAAAAAAAAAAAAAAAAGAAAGAAAGAUGAUGUGAUACAUAUCACAUAUUUCCUAACACCCCCAACCAAACACAUUUAUGCAUAUGCAUAAAGCAGACGAGGAAAGAUUCUAAAUAGGCUCUGAAUCUCAGUUUUCUCAUCUCUACAAUGGGGCAGUGAUGGCAUGCACCUCCCAGGGCUGUUCUGAGAAUCUGAUGCCUCCCAUUGCACUGGUGAGCCUGGCACAGGCACAGGUCCCACCCCAGGCCCUUUGAACUGGCUGUUCCUUUGGCCUGGAACAUUCCUCCCCAGAUACCUCCUGAGAGGGCUCCCUCACUUCCUUCAAGGCACUGCUCAAAUGCUACCUCUUCACAGAGGCUUUCCCUGACCACCCCGUCUCUUUCCUCUUCCUGCAUAGCCUCUGUCACCUGACAUUUUAUGUCAUAAAUUACUCAUUUAUUAAUUUCCUGCUCUCCCACAGUGGCACCCGAGCUCUGUGAGGGCAAGACUUUGUUCGGUUGUGGGCUAUGCCCCCAACCCCUCGGACAGUGCCUGCACAGGUGGACAUUUUUGUUGGAUGAAGGAUUUUCUGUUAAAUGUGUCUGGCACACACAGAAAAACAAAGCCCAGCAGAUGCCGUUCCAUUGUUUGCUGACUUUCAUUGAUUCUAUGAGAAGUCUGCAGUCUUUUGCAGCGUUGUUUUCCUAUGUAUAAUUGUCUCCUCCCACCCCACUCACCCCAGCUGCUUUCCACAUUCUCUCUCUUUGAUUUUCAGCAGUCUGCCCAUGAUGUGCCUAAAUAGGACUUUCUUUGCAUUCAUCUUGGCUGGGGCUCACUGAACUUUCUGAAUCUGUAGAUUAAUUUUCUUUUUUCAAUAAACCUUGGAAUAUUUUCAGCAUAA
rnacentral:lncRNA from 10 species